AGAGUUUUGAUCAUGGCUCAGGAUGAACGCUAGCUACAGGCUUAACACAUGCAAGUCGAGGGGCAUCAUUAUCGAAGCUUGCUUUGAUAGAUGGCGACCGGCGCACGGGUGAGUAACACGUAUCCAACCUGCCGUCAGCUUGGGGAUAGCCCUCUGAAAGGAGGAUUAAUACCCGAUGUGGUUGUGUUCCUGCAUGGGGAUGCAAUUAAAGAUUCAUCGGCUGUCGAUGGGGAUGCGUCUGAUUAGGCUUGUUGGCGGGGUAACGGCCCACCAAGGCACCGAUCAGUAGGGGUUCUGAGAGGAAGGUCCCCCACAUAGGAACUGAGACACGGUCCUAACUCC
rnacentral:rRNA from 1 species